rnacentral:rRNA from 1 species
UUUAUCGCUGAGAGAUGGCCUCGCGUCUGAUUAGCUAGUUGGUAGGGUAACGGCCUACCAAGGCGACGAUCAGUAGCCGGACUGAGAGGUUGGCCGGCCACAUUGGGACUGAGAUACGGCCCAGACUCCUACGGGAGGCAGCAGUGGGGAAUAUUGGGCAAUGGGCGCAAGCCUGACCCAGCAACGCCGCGUGAAGGAAGAAGGCUUUCGGGUUGUAAACUUCUUUUGACAGGGAAGAGCAUAAGACGGUACCUGUCGAAUAACCCACGGCUAACUACGUGCCAGCAGCCGCGGUAAUACGUAGGUGGCAAGCGUUGUCCGGAUUUACUGGGUGUAAAGGGCGUGUAGCCGGUCUGACAAGUCAGAUGUGAAAUCCGGGGGCUCAACCCCCGAACUGCAUUUGAAACUGUUGGUCUUGAGUAUCGGAGAGGCAGGCGGAAUUCCUAGUGUAGCGGUGAAAUGCGUAGAUAUUAAGAGGAACACCAGUGGCGAACGCGGCCUGCUGGACGACAACUGACGGUGAGGCGCGAAAGCGUGGAGAGCAAACAGGAUUAGAUACCCUGGUAGUCCACGCUGUAAA